CAAAAGCCUCUUCUUCGUCAUCUAGGAUGAUCGCAAAUGAUUUAUUGUAUUCGGGUAAAGAAGAAGAAGAAGAGGAAGAUAACGAGGGGCUUGUGAAAAACGAAAAUGAAAAGAUCAUUAAAAAACCUAAAAGAUUACGUCAAAGGUUUGAUGGGUUUGACACAUGGGAAGCCCGUCUUCAAAAAUGGACCGAGGAUUCAGCCGCAUACAUGAGAUCAAAGAAAAUUUUAGGUAUAAAUAAUGUUAAUAAUAAUAA
rnacentral:rRNA from 1 species